AAGGGGGCUUUUAUUUUGAAAGAAAGGAAGUGGUUAAUGCAGGAACUUCACCAGUCACGGACUUCCCUCGUGUUUACAUUCGAAGCUCAGCAGCACGCACCGGAGUUCAGGUGCACAAAGGGAGGAGAGACUGACCCUGAUGAUGACCAUAUUGAACUGGAUGACAGCAGCAGCAGCAGGAACCUCCCAGUUCAACCUACUUUUGCUGUACUUAAAGGUUCCUAACACAUUUCUCAAACAAGAGCUGCUGGCCCUGCACAACAGAUCCUGAAGAUCUUCCCUCGCACUUAGCAUGUGACAUAUGAGGACCGGCAGCGUGACGUCACCGAAAGUGUGUUAAAAGUGUGUUAAGUUCCAAAACUGGCCACUAGUUGGCGUAAUCGAAAAUGAGCAAAAAUGUUAAACACACUUACACACUUAAUUUCUUAAAAUUGUGAUGUUUCAGGACAUUGGAGAUUUUUGGUCUGGGAGCAUGUUGGAGGGGUCUAGAACACUGUAGAGAGCUCA